GUAGGCAUGGAGCGUGCGCUGGCACAGGGCGGAGCGCACACAGUCUUGUUUUUCAAAGCGGAUAAUACCGACCAUCUCGUCUUCUUCGAAGCGUUCAAGCGCAUCGCUAAGGCCGGAUUUUACCCCGCGCGGCAGGUCGCACUGGGUGAUAUCCCCGUUGACGAUCACCGUCACGUUCUCACCCAGACGGGU
rnacentral:antisense_RNA from 1 species